rnacentral:rRNA from 1 species
GACGAACGCUGGCGGCGUGCUUAACACAUGCAAGUCGAACGGAAAGGCCCUGCUUUUGUGGGGUGCUCGAGUGGCGAACGGGUGAGUAACACGUGAGUAACCUGCCCUUGACUUUGGGAUAACUUCAGGAAACUGGGGCUAAUACCGGAUAGGAGCUCCUGCUGCAUGGUGGGGGUUGGAAAGUUUCGGCGGUAGGGGAUGGACUCGCGGCUUAUCAACUUGUUGGUGGGGUAGUGGCUUACCAAGGCUUUGACGGGUAGCCGGCCUGAGAGGGUGACCGGCCACAUUGGGACUGAGAUACGGCCCAGACUCCUACGGGAGGCAGCAGUGGGGAAUAUUGCACAAUGGGCGGAAGCCUGAUGCAGCAACGCCGCGUGCGGGAUGACGGCCUUCGGGUUGUAAACCGCUUUCGCCUGUGACGAAGCGUGAGUGACGGUAAUGGGUAAAGAAGCACCGGCUAACUACGUG